CUAAUGUGACUGUACUAUAUUUAGAUACAUUCUUUAGAUACAAAGCCUUGCAAAGAUAUUUAGGGUGUUGAAUUACAGUGCCACACUAUAGGUCCUUCGCAGUUUAUAUUCUUACAAGGAAAACCAAUAGGACUGGUUCCCACAUAAGAAAAGUUACAAGAAAUGUGGGUCCUCCACCCACCACAUAACUCCACCCCCACAGAUCCCCUCCACCCACAUUGCACCUCCAUGCUGACAGAUCACCCUCCCCCAUACAGCACCUCCAUGCUGACAGUUCACCCUCCCCCACACUGCACCUCCAUGCUGACAGAUCACCCUCCCCCAUACAGCACCUCCAUGCUGACAGUUCACCCUCCCCCACACUGCACCUCCAUGCUGACAGAUCACCCUUCAUCCACCAUGUACCUCCACCCAGAAUAUACUUUUCUGUUCUAAAAGCACCAUUCCUUAUCUCACCUUUAUCUUCCCUCUACUUUUUUCUUGUUUCUUUACUGUGGUCAUAGCUUCUUUAUUGAUGUCUUGAGAUUAUUUUAGUUAUCUUAUGUUUGUGGAUAUUUGUGAGUGACUAUUAUUGCUGUUAAAAAUACUGUUAAUGUUUUCUUAAAAUGCCUCUUCUUUAAAAGGAAAUUAAUAACAUAUUUCAUUUGCUCUAUCAGGCACUGAAAGAAGUAUUUUUUUUUCUUGAGACGGAGUCUCAUUCUGUCACUCGGGCUGGAGUGCAAUGGUGCAAUCUCAUCUCACUGCAGCCUCCAUCUCCUGGGUUCAAGCAAUUCUCCUGCCUCGGCCUACCAGGUAGCUGGGAUUAUAGUCAUACAGCACCACACCUGGCUAAUUUUUGUAUUUUCAGCAGAGACGGGGUUUCGGCCAGGCUGGUCUUGAACUCCUGACCCGGGGCAAUCAACUUGCCUGGGCCUCCCAAAGUGUUGGAAUUACAGGAGUGAGCCACUGCGCCUGGCCAAAAGAAGUAUUCUUGUCUUCACCUUGAAUUAUAUUGUUUGUGAGUGUCUAUUUUAUCCUCCAAACCUAGAUGUUUUUGUUUUGAGUUUUGAUUUCAUGAUUUUUCCUAAGUAAAAUUGUACAACUCAUCUUUGGGUGUUUUGUAUACAUGUUAAUAUGAAUGCAUUUGUUGUAAAUUUAUUUUGUAAUUUAGAUCUUCCAUGAUUUUAG
rnacentral:lncRNA from 13 species